GAGUUUGAUCCUGGCUCAGGAUGAACGCUAGCUACAGGCUUAACACAUGCAAGUCGAGGGGCAUCAGGAAGAAAGCUUGCUUUCUUUGCUGGCGACCGGCGCACGGGUGAGUAACACGUAUCCAACCUGCCCUUUACUCGGGGAUAGCCUUUCGAAAGAAAGAUUAAUACCCGAUGGCAUAAUGAUUCCGCAUGGUUUCAUUAUUAAAGGAUUCCGGUAAAGGAUGGGGAUGCGUUCCAUUAGGUUGUUGGUGAGGUAACGGCCCACCAAGCCUUCGAUGGAUAGGGGUUCUGAGAGGAAGGUCCCCCACAUUGGAACUGAGACACGGUCCAAACUCCUACGGGAGGCAGCAGUGAGGAAUAUUGGUCAAUGGGCGCUAGCCUGAACCAGCCAAGUAGCGUGAAGGAUGAAGGCUCUAUGGGUCGUAAACUUCUUUUAUAUAAGAAUAAAGUGCAGUAUGUAUACUGUUUUGUAUGUAUUAUAUGAAUAAGGAUCGGCUAACUCCGUGCCAGCAGCCGCGGUAAUACGGAGGAUCCGAGCGUUAUCCGGAUUUAUUGGGUUUAAAGGGAGCGUAGGUGGACUGGUAAGUCAGUUGUGAAAGUUUGCGGCUCAACCGUAAAAUUGCAGUUGAUACUGUCAGUCUUGAGUACAGUAGAGGUGGGCGGAAUUCGUGGUGUAGCGGUGAAAUGCUUAGAUAUCACGAAGAACUCCGAUUGCGAAGGCAGCUCACUGGACUGCAACUGACACUGAUGCUCGAAAGUGUGGGUAUCAAACAGGAUUAGAUACCCUGGUAGUCCACACAGUAAACGAUGAAUACUCGCUGUUUGCGAUAUACAGUAAGCGGCCAAGCGAAAGCAUUAAGUAUUCCACCUGGGGAGUACGCCGGCAACGGUGAAACUCAAAGGAAUUGACGGGGGCCCGCACAAGCGGAGGAACAUGUGGUUUAAUUCGAUGAUACGCGAGGAACCUUACCCGGGCUUAAAUUGCAGUGGAAUGAUGUGGAAACAUGUCAGUGAGCAAUCACCGCUGUGAAGGUGCUGCAUGGUUGUCGUCAGCUCGUGCCGUGAGGUGUCGGCUUAAGUGCCAUAACGAGCGCAACCCUUAUCUUCAGUUACUAACAGGUCAUGCUGAGGACUCUGGAGAGACUGCCGUCGUAAGAUGUGAGGAAGGUGGGGAUGACGUCAAAUCAGCACGGCCCUUACGUCCGGGGCUACACACGUGUUACAAUGGGGGGUACAGAAGGCAGCUAGCGGGUGACCGUAUGCUAAUCCCAAAAGCCUCUCUCAGUUCGGAUCGAAGUCUGCAACCCGACUUCGUGAAGCUGGAUUCGCUAGUAAUCGCGCAUCAGCCACGGCGCGGUGAAUACGUUCCCGGGCCUUGUACACACCGCCCGUCAAGCCAUGGGAGCCGGGGGUACCUGAAGUACGUAACCGCAAGGAUCGUCCUAGGGUAAAACUGGUGACUGGGGCUAAGUCGUAACAAGGUAGCCGUACCGGAAGGUGCGGCUGGAACACC
rnacentral:rRNA from 1 species